rnacentral:rRNA from 1 species
GUCAUACGCUCGUCUCAAAGAUUAAGCCAUGCAUGUGUAAGUGUAAAUUGUUAACUUUGAAACUGCGAAUGGCUCAUUAUAUCAGUUAUAGUUUAUUUGGUGAAGGAUACUACUUGGAUAACCGUAGUAAUUCUAGGGCUAAUACAUGUAUAAAGUCUUGGUGGGAGGGUUUAUUAGAAUGAAAACCAUAGGUUUCGGCCUAUUCGUGAGUAGUAAUAACUAAUCAUAUCGCAUGCUUAUGUAACGGUGAGUCUUU